UUUUGUCUAGCUGCAAGUUCAUUGUCCCAAACUCACUUCAAGAGGAAGGAUGCACUCCCAGUCACCACCUCCAACACCACGCUGGUUUCCAGUCCCGGUUGCAGACUCCCUGCUGUGCUCUGCGCAGCUCAAGAGACACGUUUCUGACUGCAUUUAGCGGUAAGACAUCCUCCCUUUGACCCAACCAUGGGGAAGAAGAAGUUCUUUUAUCUAUCUGAGGCUGUUUAAAGUUGGAAAACUCCAUGUGAAACCUCCGUCCUUCAGCAAGAACACUCCUUUGGUGCACUGGGGAAAUUUAGUAGCAGAGAUAACCUGCUGCAUCUUGCAGAGCCACGGACUUUUUGUGCCCAGAGACACAGAAGACCAGAUCCCCCAGCUCUGGGGUCCCUGCCAGCUCUCCCUGCAGGCUGACGGAGGGUCCUGCUGCAGAAGUACAUUCUCCAAUUGUUAUUUCAUUAGCAUGUGUUUUAUAGCAUCGUAAUGCCAAGUGCUAUUUUUGGCUAUGACUUCACACCAGUGCCUUUGGAAAGCCACAGAACACAAGGAGAAGGAGUGAGGAAACAACCCAGAUGAUCUGUCGUUACAGCUUGAGCAUGUGGGAAGCAUCAUCCCCGCUGCCUCCACGCAGAUACAAUCUAGUCAUCAAACAGUGAUUCAUGCUCCAGGUUUUGCCUAUAUGGCCACGUCCUCUGGACCAAAGUCUGAGAUGGAAACGAUCCCGAGGAGCUGGAAAUGUCACUGGGAGGCAGGUGGUGGUCUGACUGGUUGGAAGCAAGAGAUGGCAAGAUGAUUGUGGAGGAACGGAGGGAGGGUGAGGUCUGACAGAGGAACAGAUUUAUGGUUCUUCUGCCUCAGGAGAACAAAUAAGAGGAUGUGUUGCUGAGGAAAUGGGUGGCAGGUGGUACUGUCAGCCCUUCAAAACAAGCAGAAAUAUUAAGGCGCUGAGAAAAAUCUGAUUGAGAACUGAAUAUAACUCCAGUCUCGUUUGCAGAGGCUCACAGAGCUGCCAGAUCGUGACAGACACACUGAGCUCUGCCUUUGUGAGUGCAGAAAAGAAAACUGCACACGCACCUUCUUGAAUGUCUCAUGCGAAAUGAAGACUUGGGUCAUUCUUUAGGACUGGAUUUUAGAUCAUCUGUCUGCACCUUGUAAAUAGGAAGGAUGAGUGGACUGUAACUGACACCGAGAUAGCUAUGAAGUGGCCUACAGGCAUGUGACAGCAAAAAAAAAACAACAACAAAAAGGAAAACCAAGGGCAUAAAUGAACAGGUCCUGCUGAGUGUGGCUUUUUCUGGAAGUGACAGUCCGUUGUGUUGCAGAUUUUGAACUCUCUGCACGCUGCUGUGAAGUACAGUCUGCACUACCGUGGAGGUUUUGUACGUCAUUAAUGCUUUGUCUGUGUCCUGCUGAGAGGCCUACCACUUUUCUCUCGGUGUGGCAGCCACUGUGGACAAUGAACUGAUUGUAACGUAGGAAAAGCAACCGAUGCAGAUGGCUGAGAUUCCAGGUCUUAACCCUCUGUGAGAGGGAGAGAAGAUCUCAAGAUUGUCCAGAGCUCCAAUUCAAGUGGAAAGAGGACAAAACCACUGCAUGUAGUGAUGCUUCCACUUUGGCUUUAGGCUGUGUGUAACCAGGCAGGGAGCAUCUGCAAGGAUCGGACUGUGCAUCCUCAGCCUCAUGGGAUGAUGGGCAACAGCAAGGCAAUGCAGAUGCUGCUCAGUGCAGCUGUUCCAAGUUCAGCAUCGUGGCUCUUCCGCCUUUGCCUAAUGAGCAAAGCAUGGAAGCAAGAUGUCUGCACUGUAUCACUGAGGGGGACUGAAUGAUGCCUUGCCCUGAGCAUUCAGACACUGGUGCACCUCCUGACUCAUGAGAGUCAUGCAGCAGGUCAGCCUGGUGCUGCUGUGUGUAAGGCCUUGGAAGGAAACAAGACCACCCUUUGGUGCUGGCUGGAAGAUGUACGAUGUCGUCCUCCUCCCAUAACACCACAGGCUGCAUUGAGAUCAUCUGCAAACUGCUUCUGCAGGUACCAACUUCAGAACUGCUUAGGGAAGGUUAGUUGCACAGGGGGACUUGCAAACAGCCAACACUUGUGCUGACAGGAGAGUUAAAAGGCAACGAAACACAUCUGACAGGCACACUCUUUCCUUGCACAAGGCUCUGGGAAGAGAGCAUUUGUCAGAAGGGAUGAAGUGGGUACAUGGCUGGCCGUGUUGUGCUGCCUGCAAAAAGGUCUUCGGUGCCUUCAAACGCCACUUACUAUCAAAUCAUGAAAAAUGCUUAGAAGCCAGUGUUGAUGCAAACAGAGCUUAAAAAAAAUCUGGUAAGGUUCCAUUGCUAAGCACUUUGACUCUAACCCUGUGGUUGGACAUGUGUGGGCAGAUGCUCGUGUUCCUGCUGAGCCCCUCAGACUACAGAGGAAGCACACACAGGGUUGUAAGCCAGCUGUUUGCCUGAGGUUUUGCUGGAUGGGGUCUUAGUGUGGGGUUUUGAAAGGCAGCUGGAUGAUUUUAAUCCAUGUAUCCAUUAAUUCUCACCAGAACUGUAACGCACAGGUGACUUUUGACACUUCUGUCACUUUCUUGUUUACCAAGUACUGGGUAAAUGUUUCAAUUUUUCAGUUUUUUUCCAGCCAUUCUCACUCUUUCAUCCCACUAUAUCCUACCUUGUUAACAAAUUUUCACAGAAUCACUAAGAUUAGAAAAGACCACUAUGAUAAUCAAGUCAACCAUGUCUCUCAGCGCCAUACCUUUAUGUUUCUUGAACACCUCCAGCAACAGUGACUCCACCACUUCCCUGGGCCCCAGCUAUUUCUGUCAAGCCCUUGGCUUCGAUGAACUAGACACCAGCCAGAUAAAGGAGAAGCUUUGGAUGGAAAUACUCAGAAAUCCAUGGGAUUUGCAUAGGUCCCACUACUACUACUACUGCAUAUGCACUGAACCUUGGAGAAUCCAAAACUGAAUGAGUCACCCAAAAAUGAAAAAAAAAAAAAAUUGUUUAACUGAAUCUUGAAUUUCAAUCAGAUCUUUCUAAUGGCAAAAUGAACAUUAAAUGACAGCUGAACAGUUGGUUUUAGAGCCUGGGACGUGUGGUGUGUGUGCAUGCCAGCUUUUUCUUGUGGUGAUGGGAACAUAGUGAACACAAAUCCUGCAAGGUGGGUGACAGUAACCCCAAGUCUUUUCAGUGACAAAAGACAACUGCCUUCUUUGUUAAAUACAGCGCUGCUAAAAAAUGCCCCAGAAGUUUGUCCUGAUGGAGAGGCUGUUUUUCCUUCUAUCAGUGCUCCAUGUCAGAGCUGUGCUCUCAAGAGACGUCUGUUCCUGAAAGGUCCCUUCACUUCCAUGCCUUCCAAGGUCAUGCUUCAAUGCCAGACUUGAAGACGUUAAAUGUCAGCCAACAGUGGGGCAGUUUGUUAAGCACACUGAGAGUCGAAGUAAAUUGCCUUUUCCUGCCCUUGCUGUGCGAGCUUAAAAAUGUAAAGAAAUUCCAGCAACUUGCUACCAAAUUUAGUAUUACCUGGCCUGCUCUUCUGAUACAGUGACUUCUGCAUAUAUGCCCAGUGUUCCCUGCCUAUCGCAUGGGUUACGUUGUCUGUUCUUUGCCAUUGCAGCUUUUAUUAAGUGUCUCUUGGGCUGAGUCCCGCUGAGUCAAUGGAAAAGUACUGUUGCUGCACUGGAAGCAGGAACUGGCUGUUGGGUUCUUUCUGGUCUGAACUCGACACUGGUUGUAAUUCACAACAUAUGCAGCGAGACGGGUAGUAAUAGUCCAGUAACAAGUGUUACCUUUUACCCUUACAAGGUAAAUUAGCAUAUGUGUAUGUGUGUCUAUCUCCUCUAUGUUCUGUUGUGCUCUGCUUUCAGAGUUCCUUCUUUAGGACUGUAGUGACGCUUUGCACAGAAGAUCUGAGAGUUGCCACUUUCAGUAGGAAAAGAAAUGCUAAGCUUUGUCAGAUGUUUGAACCAGUGUUCGAGGUCAGCCAGACUAGAGGAAAAUGCUUGUUGGGAGUUCUGCCCUGUUAAUGAAUUGUGGCAGUUCUGCACUCGUUAGGUGUCAGCCCAAUAUUAGCUGGCACUCCUGUGGCUAUCUAGGUAGCAUAUGGCUAAUGUGAUCCAGCACCACAUGACAGCCAAGUUCAGGACACUGGAACUCUCAGAUCACCAGGGCUGAGUUCUCCCUUGCUUUGAAGGCGAGAUCACGGGCUGCACGUAGAGAUGAGUGAAGAUGUUUGCUGCUAAUCCUGUUGGCUGGGAUGUCUUGGCCUCAUCCCAGAUGCAAGAGUUUUUGCUUAUCUCAUACGUGGAUGAGGAAAGUAGGGGAAAAAGAAAAAAAAAAGUGCUGCAGAAAGAAGCCUUCAGAAGUACUAAGUGCUGGAGAAACUAUUCUGUGGUCAUAAAGUACUGUCCUGCACCAGAUCCUGAUGCACUUACUGACUGUGAACAUGACUGCAGACCCAGGACAGCCAAGUGCUAGCCCACACAGCUGAGGUUGUCAGGAUCUGGCCCCGUGCAGAUCGUUUCUUUCAGUGAGUGGCAAUCUCUCCUCUGAUCCAUGUGGACAUUUUGUGAAAUGAAGUCCUAAAUUUCAAGCCUUGCAGCUUGCACAUGUGUUCCUGUAGGCACCAGGGACUAGUAAGAUUCCACUUAGAACUGGCACUCUUGAUUUUCCUUGCCUUGCACUCGAGAUAUAUGAGAGUUUGUUUAUGUGAGAUUUGGGAGAACAAAGGCAAAUUAAAUCCCACCCUUCCAGUAGGAUAUAUAUUUUUUCAACCUUGAAGCAAAUUUUCUAUGUCUGUGUGUUUUGGCUUUUAAACUCAAUAGCCUGCAGGCAUUAACCAUGUCAGCAAACAAAUGGAAAGCUCAUCACUACACUAUUAGAAGGUUUAAAACUGAAAACCAGAGUCUAUAACAACAGCAAAUGGGAUAUCAAAGACAUGUCCCUCUGCUUGAUCCUUUCACUGAACUGGAGCUGGACGGAUGCUGUGAAGGGUGUUUUGUUGUGCCUGCACACUCCCCAACCAUUUCAGAAUGUUGAAGUGUAAUGGCUUUUUUAUUAUUAUUUAAAUAAUAUUAUUUUAUAUUCUUAUUUGGCCAGAUAAGAAGAAUAAAAACAGAUUAUAGCAUGAGUCGUGGAGGUAAAGGAGUGCUAUGAAUGAGAAUUCACUCCCUCUCAAUUAUUCCUCCAAACAGUGCAUCUGUGAUAGCAGUACCCUGUGAGUUUCACUGGGCAGCUACCUCAGCCCUAUAACUGCCACACAGAUCACUCUAUGCAUUUUACUGAAAAAAAAAAAAAAAGGCAUUGUAAAUUUUGGCAAUUGGAGAUCAUUUAGGCUAUUGUGUGUGUAUGGCACUUGGAUAAAAGGUUGCCUUCUUCUGCCCUGAGCUUCCUAUUCUGCUUCUCACUGGUCCCUUUGGACCGUUAUCCUGCUGAUCUCCAUCGUUUUCUUUCCACUAAACCCCCACCCGUGAUGCUUGCACUACUUGAACUUUUUCCCUACAGACAGCAUUUUCUGAACACUCUAUUUUAUUUUUUGUGACUUCUGGGGACAUUUCCCAUUUCCAGCAUAUCUUUCAGAAUGAUGCACUGAGCUGACUUGGCGCAGAGUGAUAUAAAUCCUACAUUCUUGUACAGGACACAUUUCCACUCCUGUGCCCCACUGUUUUAAUCCUUCAGUGUCCUUCCCCAUGCUGAGGUAGGGCUGUAUGCAACCUCACUUUGCACCCAUAUGAGCAUUGUGCUUGCUUUGAGGUAUGCAGGUUGCAGUCAGAUGGGGAGUGCUAUUUUGGGAGGGCACCACCACCAAAAGCAAAAUGAAUCUGUCACAAAACCACUUCUACAUCAGCAGCAAUUUUAAGCCUUCAUCUGCACAUAUUUCCUAGGAAGGAAGUUUCCUAUAUCCUGCACUGUUGAUUCCCUAAGGGGAAAAAUAUCUGCUUGGAGCAGGUCCUCUAGGGGAUUCAAAGUUCCCCUGAGGAAUGCGUCCCUGAGCCAAAAGCGUCAGGUGCAGCUGAUCACAGUAAGCCUGGGGCUGCUGAAGGGCUGGGAAGGUUGAUGAGGGUGGAAGCAUUUGGGGCUAGAAGCUACAAGCAGGCAGUCUGGAGGUUGAUAGUGCUGUCCAACCCGUGGUCUUUUCUUGGAUAUGUGAUUUUUGCCGAGGUUUGCAGAGGGUUCUUGAGCGGCUGUGCUAGUUAAGUGGUAACUACAGGUAUCAAAUCUCAGUGGCAGAAGGAAAUUGCAUUCUUCAGAGGGGCCUGGAUGUAUGGGAACCUCCAGCAUUUUAUAUCAUUUAUAUCAUUUCAUAUGCUUCAGGUGAGUAUACUGACACUGGCCUUUAAAAGGCAAAGCAAGGAGAGUCAAGCUGGCUGGCUUUGCUUGAAUAGUUCUGUUACUGGGUCUUGGUAGUCACAAGUGCAAAACACAGUUGGUGCUUAGGACCAGUGAUAAAACCCAAUGGAGUGGCUUGAAGCUGUGACAGGGGAGGUUGAGAUUGGAUAUCUGGAAAAGGUUCUUCAGCAGAGGGUGGUGGACAUGGUGUAGGCUCCCCAGGGCAGGGGGCACAGCCCUGCUCUGCCAGAGUUCAAGGAGUGAAUGGAUAAUGCUCUCAGACAGAGGGUUUGGGUGGUCCUGUGUAGAGCCAGAGGUUGGACACAAUGAUCUUCAGGGGUCCCUUCCAACUUGGGAUAUUUUAUGAUUCUUUGAACUUUGAUUUCUGAUACAUGGCAGUGAUAUAUAAAAAUUCUUUGGUCCUGGUGAGAGAGGCUGUGGUUCAAGGUAUUAUCCCCCCAGGGUUUGUUUCUAAUGCUGUGAUGUUUAUUAAGUAUUGCCAGGUGCCUUCUCGAGGUUUCCAGUUGAGUUCUACUGGGACCCGUGGCACUAACUGGUGCCUGAGCUUACACAGAAAACACAAUGCUGGAUUUUUAAGAAUGAGACUUGCUGAUACCAAAUAGCACAGAGACUUUACGUCAUCUGUUAAUACCAGAAAUCAAUUUGAAUUUUGCUUCCACACUGGAAGACAGUUAUAUCUAAACCUUCAGCCCAACCUACCCUUGGUGGGCAAGCCCUGUGUAAUUCAUGCAGAACCAAAGUGGGAAGAUGAUCAUUUCCACUCUCUGGCGGCUUUGGUUGUCUUUAAGGAGACCUGAUGAGGCACAAGAACAGCAUCAUUUAAUCUGUGUCUGAGUGCCUCAGCACAGACACAACAUUGAAUUGAUGACAAAAGUGUGUGGCAGCAGUUACUGCCAUGAGAGUUGUUCUGGGAGAAAACACAAGAAAAUCAUUUAACUCCCUCCCUCACCGCUGUAAGUUAAUUGGGACAUGCUUUAUUCCCAGCACAAUUAUAAAUUUAAAGAUGAGUGCAGCUGAAGAGGGACUGGAUGGUGCACAGCAUAGGCUGGAGCGGAGUUUACAAAAAGCUGCCUUUUAAAUCUUAUGCCUACAUUCUGUUUCUCUCUGGAACAAAAUACGAUACUUCCAGCCUACAAUAUGAAGUGAGUCAUAAUAUUGCCAUUCUGCUCCCAGCAUAAUUGGAGCAUACCUAUGGUAUGAAGUGGGAGAAAUAUUUGGCCAAGAAGAAAGCUCCAGAAUUUUAUGUACUGUCAAGACGUGCUUAAUAAAUAGAGAGUAUUAUUUUCAUAUUGCGUAAUUCAGACUUUCCUCAUUCUGGGGUUGUUUCAGCAAAACAUGCAAGUGUGUGCUUAUCUUUAAUUAGUGUUUAAGCCAAGAUGACUGUUAACAUACUUAUGGGAAGGACUUUUCAAAGGACUAGGCUUCUGUACAUGCAUGGAGGCAACCACAUGCUUGCACCUGCAUAGGGGCUGAAGGAACUCUUCCAGGUAGAUGUGGAGGGUGGGUGUUAGUGGCAGAAAGCACAUAUAUUUGCCAUGAUUUGUGGUCAUUUAUCCUGUGCUGCCGCUUCUUUCCUAAGGACUUCAGCAGUCUCUGCUAUCACCCACGUGAGCAUGGACUCAGCUGCUCAGCUGGAAAGGCUUUAGGGCAGGGUAUGAAGCCCUCAUCCUGACAAUGACAAUGAGCACAUUGCCUUCAGCAGACCAGAUUUCAUUCCCUGCAUGUGAAGAGACUCUGAGACAGAGAGGAAUAAUCAUGUUGCAUGUGGCUGGCUGUGAAAUAUUCUGGCAAAGGAAACAGGGCUUGAUCUUGAACUCUUCCAGGUGAAAAAUACAGUCAGGAGUGAUGUGAACACAAAAUGGCAAGUGAGGCAACACGUGGGUGAAGCUUUGGUCUACGACACCAAUGACUUGGCCUUGGUUCCUGCCCUCAGCUGUGCGACUUUCCCAAUGCCCGUGUCUCCUUCCAAAUUAAAUGGGAGCAUUGAAACAAAUUUGCUUUUAAAUGAAGCCUGAUGAACUCUCCUAUAUCACUGUGGUCAUAUGAGAGACAAUCCACGGGUUGAACUUAAUGUUUAUUUAGUAUAGCUCACUCCUCUAUAUUAACUGCUGUUAUUAUUAACUGCUGUGAUGCCUGCUGUCCAUAGGGCUUUCAUGAUCAAGAAUAUAUAAAAUAACAGUUGUUCAUUUUAUUUUUAAGCAUUCAAUAGCGUGCAGUGAGUUGUUUAACACUAGGCAGUGUGUGCAUUAUGAUGCUGUGCUCUCAUAUGAAGUGUGUUUUUUGACCAAACAGCCCAAAAAUCUCUCUUGCCCUUGGUGAUGAGCACCAGUGAACAUUUGAACCCUCCAGAGUGUGAAGUAAUAAUGGCCAGCUGGUGUCAGUGAGCAAAUGGCUAAGAUAUGAGGAUUAAAUCUGGUUUAUACCACACCACUGAGGACCUCUAAAAGACUGGUUUGGAUUGGUUUUCAGAGGAUUUUGGAACAAUCUUUGCCCUUUCUGAACAGCAACAUUCCUUUGUUCAAGCAGGAUCUUUGGACUUCAGUUCAAGAAUAAAUUCUGGAAAACAGAUGGAUCUACUGCUGCUGAGAUCCUCUGUUCAAAUUAAGAAGAGAAAACCAAUAGGACAUAUAUGCCUAUAUAUAACUUGAAAUUCCUUUCCUUCUGUUUAAACAAUGAAUUGUUAUUGCUGUGCUCACAGGCAGCCUGCAUUCUCUGAGCAGAUUCCAUGUUGUUGAACUGAGAGAUGGAUAAAGUCAGACAUUUCCCAGGAUGUGAUGGUCAGUGAUGGACUGGUACUCAGGAAGCCAAAGAUAAUGCGAUCUGGGUAUGGAAAAAAUGUUUGUCUUCUUGUAAACAUAGGAAAACAGUGAAGACAAAUUAAUUUGAUCUUAUAAAAAUAUAUAUAUAAUCAAUCCAUCAUCAUAAGUUUAUGAUUCCCUUUGUAAUUCUUUAACAAAUUGAAACAAUAAUUUGAAGAAUAUCAGAGCAGUAUAACUUUUGAGCAGCUCGCAUCAGCCAGUGUUCAUUCUAACAAAUUUGCUUUGCUUUACGAUAUUUUUUCUUCAGAGUUUUUCUCCAGCCCUGUUCCUUUGGAUGUAUUGAUUUCCCAUAGGCUUGCAUCUUCUUACACUGAGAUUUGUUUUCUUUCUUUUUUUUUUUUUUGAAGUUGGCUACAUGUCUGGGAAAUACACACCCUUGUGUUCCAAGAGGGCAGAGGGAGGUAUUUCUAGAAAUAGCAAAAUGACAAACAAAUAGUGAGAAAUUCUGGUCUUGGCCACCUUACUAUAAACUCAGCCCAUUGGUCUUUUUUCAGAACUGAGGUUUCCCAUCUGUCAAUGGGUGGAUAUAAAUUCCAGCGGAUGUUGAAGAGACGUCUGGAGUGUAUCCAUUGCACUCCCGGUGUCAGUGAGCAUCACCCAGUUACCAUGUAUUUUUUGCUGACCUAAGGGAAUUUGUGGUCUUCCCUCCAAAUGGGUAAUGGUAAAAAUUCUGAAGUGUCUAACAUUCUCUUCUAUGGCUACUAAGAGUCUCUGAUAGCCAAACUUAAUGAGUGUCUUUUAUAAGCUGGUGGGUUGGGUGCUGAGGAAUGAGCUCUCUGCUGUGCUGCAGAGGAGACCCUGAUGUCAGUGGCAUGACAUUAGCAAUGGGAGAACCAGAAACCUUCAGCCUCCAAGGAAGCUGAAUUAGUGGAUUUGAACCUCACUGGAACAAAAAUGAGGACAGGACAUUUUCCAAGGAACACAGUGUGCUUCUUUUCAAAACUCAGUGACAGAAUUUGAAUGGGCUCUCAAGUUCCAAGUGGUGCCUUCAAAAACUCCAGCAUAAGUUUUAAGGGAGAGAAAGAGGAGAUUUUCCAUCCUCCCACAUUCCAAAGUGCCCAAACAAGAAGAAAAGUCUUCCAGGCAGCCACAUUUUUUCUACACCAGAAAUGACUCCAUUGUACAAAGUGAAUGCCAAGGCCCAGGUUUGUUCUGGUCUUUGCACGUAUUUUUCAAAUCAGUGUUUAUUUUGCCUGAUCUGCCCUGACUUUCUGGUUCCUGUUUCUCUUGUCUCCCAUUGUUGCUGGUGAACUUUGGCCCUUACCGGGAUUAUGGUGGAGUUGCCUUUGUUUGAGGAGGUACAUGGGAGAUUUUUCAAUGCUGUUGUGCUGUGAGAAAAGGAGGGGCAGCACUUUUGGCUUUUCCAUCCCAUUCUACCCUUUUUAUCUCCUCCUGGCUCUCCUCUGGGCUGUAUUUCAUCAGUAGCUAUUCUGACACUUGUGGUUGCUCUUUGCCUGCUCUCCUGUAUUGAGGCAUGGAGCUGCCAUGCCUCUGCCCCAUGCCAAAUGCCAUGUGUGUUCCUCUGCUGACCACUCUCCUUCUUCUGUGCCUACUCUUAAAAUGGAGGGAAAUUAAGCUCAUUUGUUACCAGCUGUAAUUAGCAGGCAUUACAUCUCUGAGAUGGUGAAUGGCUUUAGGACCGUUGCCUUUGUUUAGCAAUGUGCAUCAGUGCAAAUGAUUUGGAGGUAAGUUCCGUAAAGCAGAAACUACAGACACUCUCUAACGGCUUCUGUAAAUUAAUAUAACAAAGCGAGCCAGGAAAAAAAUUCCCAAAUGUGUCUUCUUUGUAAUCUGAAAAGUCUUUGACAAAAGUAAAUUUUGCCAUUAUUAUUAUAUGAACAUUUCCUUGCAUCUCCUGCAAAUAUAUAAGGUGAAAAUUGAUACUUGUUCUUGUGAAAAUAUCAUUGUGUGUCAUAAACCCCCUCAUUCUUAUUUCCUUGAAGCUUAGGACUUUGCAAAGAAAUGCACUAAGGAAAUUGUCUACUUCUUUCAUUUAUUUUAUUGAUCUAAUUACUGGCCUUCUCUUAUAUGCAGUCCUUUCAUUCACUUCAAAGGUUUCCUGACUCAGAUGUGCUUGUACCCAGCUCUGUGAGUCCUCUGAAACCAGAUGAACCCAGCACCUUGUGUGAGCUUAUCUAAUCUUGAAAAGGAUUUCUUAAGAAUCUAUGAUUUCCUCUCUGUUUGGUAUCAAAAUAUGUUUAGCACAAUUUCAUCAUACUGAAUAUCAUCAGACCCAAAAAAAAAAAACCCAAAAAACUACAUAUGAUGGCAAUAGGCAUAAAUAUUUACAACUAGUAAAAAUUCUGUCUAAUUUUAGGUACCCACACCCACCACACUCACAGGGGAAUGAAGCCAGACUCUUUCAGGAUACGCUUCCAGCUCUCUUAAGGAAACAAAUCCAUUUGGACUCUUGGUAAUGCCUUCUCAUUACUUCUGAUGGCUCUAUUUCUAUUCUUACCUGGCAGCUGGAACGGGUUAAAAAGGGCUGCCCAUGUAGGUUAGCUAAAUUCAGUGCUCCUCAGACAGCCCAAAUGAAUUUCUUUAGGUCAAAUGUAAUGCAUAGGAAGAAAUAGGAUUUGGGGCCCUCUGGUGAGGAGGUCCUGGUAAGAACAGACUGUUUAUCUUCUGGCUGAUGGAUGAAUCUAUCUGAUAGCAGUGACUUGGUUUGUUAUCAUGAGAGGUAAUAGAAAGGCAGCUACGUGGAAGGAACCUGAAAGCAUGUGACCCUACCAUAAGAGAGCUCAGAAGCUGGAAUAUAGGUUGUAUUUAAAGAUCAGAAUACAAGCACACAACCUAAUUUCCCUGACUAUGGUGAUAUGUUCCCUAAAUUAUUCAGAACAUUUCAGAGGUCCUCGUCUGUACAUUUCCUGUGUAAUCUGUAGGCAGCAUCAACAGAACGUGGCUACAGACAUCUUCAUCCACAGCCACUGCACAUCACAGUUGAAAUCCUUGACCUGGUAACAAAAGCACUGAGUAUCCCUCAAAGGUGCAGAAUACUGUCUCAUGGAGGGAAGAUGUGCUUUGAAAACCUUCGAAAGCACUUAGGCUAACUUGUUUCGUCUGGAAAUCAAACUUAACGUGGUCUUAUUAGUUACAGCCUGGAUUUAUUAGACAGUACUGUGAUAACAAAAGUCAUCAAAGGAGAGAAGAAAAAAACCAAGCAACUCUAUAGUAGCAUAUACCAGAAAGAUUAAAGACACAAUGAUAGAUAAUUAAUUCUAAGACUGUUUUCUCUUUUCCAAAGCACUUGAUCUCUUCUGUCAUUCUGUUUGCCAGAGCUUGCAAGGAUUGCCAACCAUUGCAUCUCUUCGUAUUGAGGAAGCGUAAAACCACACCUGAGCUCAUACUAUUUGAGGCAUUUUUCCUUGGAAUGUUUUUCUUUGCUACACAGACUUUUCAUUUAGAGGAAGUGGGAGGAAAUCUGCCUUUAGAAAAUAAUGGCUACAAUACAAUUACUGUAAAAUAGAUAAUAGGAGUAACCAACUAGUACUGGCCAGGGGGAUGAUAAUUCAACUUUGUGACAACUUCUGAGGUUUUACAAUUUGUUUUCAUUUUACAGUGGAAUGAAAACAAGACCUUCACAUAUUAUGUUUUCAAUUUAGGUCUUUCUUGCUGCAUUGUCAGGAAUAACCAGGGUGCCCUGGACCUCAAGAAUUUGUCCUUCCAAGUAUUUAAAAAAUGCUUCAACGCUGAUGAAUCAGCAUUUUCUCCUGGUGGGAUAGUUCAUGGUAAAUGCUCUGGCCUGAACUUUGCUAACCCUGCAAGUUCAAAAUGAUGUCCUACGCCCUAAAACAUAUUUGUUACAAAUAACUUCUUUUGUGUUUUAUGCGCUAUUUCCAGACUGUCUUCUCUAAAGCAUACCUUUUUCCUUUAUCCUCUAUGGAUGUACAUCCAUUUUCCACCUUUAUCCAGUUCUUUCCUCCUAUUUUCUUCAGCUUUUCUUGUUUCUCAUGCAGCUUCUUAGGACUUUUGACCUUCCGUAGCUUAUGCACAAGAAGCAAUGCUAAGAUAAUGUUUUAUGGUAUGCUGUAGCAGAGGUUGGCUAGGAAAGAGGUGGCUGCUGGAUGGACUCUGCAACAGAUAGUGGUCACUGCACGGCAGUCCCACAAGCAUCCUGCAAAUCCCUGUCUGUCUGCUCUUUGGUUUUAAUUCUUCUCAGAUGGCAUUUUCCAUCAGGCAGAGCUGACAUCCGUGAGAAGGCAGGAACAUCUGCUCCCAUGCCCUGGCCGGCUGCCGCCCUCACCAGCUCAGCAGCACUUUAGGAAACCAGAAGAGCCACACGGUGGGAAGACCCAAUUCUUUGAGGGAAAAAAAAAAGCAGUGUGGAAAAUAGAGAGGAAAUGCAUCUAUGCAUUCUGAAACAUGGAGACAACAGCAGAAAGGAGAGCAAGAGGUGGAGUGACUUAACAUGGUGCAAAGUACGAGUUGCUUCUGUAGAUGUCUUUGUAUGAAUUGUUUCAUGCAGCUCACCAUGACAUACCAUGAAUGUUAUCAUCCAGGGACAAGGUUCCCUUGUGUUCUCAGGAAUUUCCACCCUGCUGGGCGUAGUCUCAAAACACCAUUUUCCUUGCAAAAUUGUCUCAAGACUCAUUUUUCAAUCUCUUCUGUUCAUACAUUUAAAUAGGAAGCAGGGGGAAAGAAACUCAGUUGGGAGCAACAUAUGGAGACAACACAAGUUAUUCCUGUUUCACCAUUUUCUUGGUAUCGAUUUCCUCUGCCAAACAGUACUUCAAAUUUGGGACCUCUGCAUUUGUACUCCCUGUUGCUUACUUCCUUGGAAGCAUCAGGAAGGACUUACGGUAUUGCUACAAGCAGCUCUUACAGGAAAAGGAAUGAAUUGGGAAAUACACCUCAAGUAAUGGAAGAAUGAAUUAUUUCACCAUUUUAGCCAUUUCCCAAGAGGAAGAGUAGAGGGAAGAAAAUGCAUUUAACACUCUAAAAUAUUGAAAUAACAGGAACCACAUCAACUUCACCCUUCUGGACUUCAACCAAACCGACUGGUUUAGGUAAAUUCCCAGCAGAUCCAAGUGGCAAACUCCAUCAGAGAGUUAUUCUCCAUCAGAGAAUAUUUCUAAGCAUGGCAAGGGAAUUUCUCUAUACUAAUGGUAUUAUGAACUGGAUCAGCUCAUUUGGAGUUCUUUGGACUUAGGCCUGGAUUCUAGCAGAGUAGCAGAAUAUUUUUGAAAUAUGAACUCCCCCUUCAGUAUAGAGUCUGAUCCUGUUUUCAUGGAUGGUAUUCAUGGAAAAUCACUUUCUUGAAGCUGUAUCUCAAAUAUAUAUUUUUAAUGAGAGAUGUUAUUCCCUUGAACUUCUGGAAUAGGCUUUAAGUAUUCACAGCAGUAACUAAAAGGCAAUGAGUUGAAGGGGACCGUACUUGAUUUCUGAGAUUUAAUGGUUACAUAUACAGAACAAAGCAAAGCAGCACUCUUUCUAAAUGUUUAAAUACAGCAUAGAAAUACCCUCCUGGAUUUUGUUUGUGUCCUCACUGAAAAUUUUAAUGGCCAUUUUGCAGAAAGCAAAAUACAGGCUACACUGAAAAGAAAUUACAAACAAUUCUGUGGCAUCCUUUGUGUUUUGACAUAGCAGUGAAGAUGUUUGUGUCAUUCUAGCUAACUAAAAAUAAAGAUGCAAUUACAAAAUA